rnacentral:rRNA from 1 species
AGAGUUUGAUCCUGGCUCAGAACGAACGCUGGCGGCGUGGAUAAGACAUGCAAGUCGAACGCGACUUAUCUGGUUAGCAAUAACUAGGUAAGUUGAGUGGCGAAAGGGUGCGUAACACGUGGGAAAUUACCGAAAAGUGGGGGGAUAGCUCGGCGAAAGCCGAAUUAAUACCGCAUAUGAUCGCAAGAUCAAAGCCGGGGACCGCAAGGCCUGGCGCUUUUCGAGAUGCCCGCGGCCCAUCAGCUCGUUGGCGGGGUAACGGCCCACCAAGGCUAUGACGGGUAGCUGGUCUGAGAGGACGACCAGCCACACUGGAACUGAGACACGGUCCAGACACCUACGGGUGGCAGCAGUCGAGAAUUUUUCACAAUGGGGGAAACCCUGAUGGAGCGACGCCGCGUGGAGGAUGAAGGUUUUCGGAUUGUAAACUCCUGUCACUGCAGAACAAGGGUGUGCCGGUUAACAGCCGGCGCAUUUGAUGGUAUGCGGAGAGGAAGGGACGGCUAACUCUGUGCCAGCAGCCGCGGUAAGACAGAGGUCCCGAGCGUUGUUCGGAUUCAUUGGGCGUAAAGGGUGUGUAGGAGGUCGGGUAAGUCAGGUGUGAAAUCUCAGAGCUUAACUCUGAAACUGCGCUUGAUACUGCCCGGCUAGAGGAUCGGAGGGGGCAACGGAAUUUAUGGUGUAGCAGUGAAAUGCGUAGAUAUCAUAAGGAACACCGGUGGCGAAGGCGGUUGCCUGGAAGAUUCCUGACUCUGAAACACGAAAGCCAGGGGAGCAAACGGGAUUAGAUACCCCAGUAGUCC